rnacentral:rRNA from 1 species
AUUGAACGCUGGCGGCAGGCCUAACACAUGCAAGUCGAACGCGUGGCGGACGGGUUAGUAAUGUCUGGGAAACUGCCUGAUGGAUGGGGAUACCUACUGGAAACUGUUGCUAAUUCCGCAUACCAUCCGAUUUGUCCAGAUGGGAUUAGCUAGUUGGUGGGGUAACGGCUCAACAAGGCGACGCUCCCUAGCUGGUCUGAGAGGAUGAACAGCCAAACUGGAACGGAGACACGGUCCAGACGCCUACGGGAGGCAGCAGUGGGGAAUAUUGCACAAUGGGCGCAAGCCGGAUGCAGCCAUGCCGCGUGUAUGAAGAAGGCCUUCGGGGUGUAAAGUACUUUCAGCGGGGAGGCGGUACCCGCAGAAGAAGCACCGGCUAACUCCGUGCCAGAAGCCGCGGUAAAAC